rnacentral:tRNA from 1 species
GCCUUCGUGGUAUAACGGUAGCACAUUCGGCGCGUAUUCGAGAGGUACAGGUUCGAGCCCUGGCGAGGGUA